CGCUGGCGGCGUGCUAAUACAUGCCCGUCGAGCNGGAUCGAUGGGAGCUUGCUCCCUGCAGAUCAGCGGCGGACGGGUGAGUAACACGUGGGUAACCUGCCUGUAAGACUGGGAUAACUCCGGGAAACCGGGGCUAAUACCGGAUAAUUUAGUUCCUCGCAUGAGGAACUGUUGAAAGGUGGCUUC
rnacentral:rRNA from 1 species